GUCCUUCAGGAGCAGAUCCUGGUUCAGGUCUUACGGUGGUUUUAGUCCUUCACGAGCAGAUCCUGGUUCAGGUCUUACGGUGGUUUUAGUCCUUCAGGAGCAGAUCCUGGUUCAGGUCUGACCUCCUGUUCAGGUCUUACGGUGGUUUUAGUCCUUCAGGAGCAGAUCCUGGUUCAGGUCUGUCCUCCUUUUCAGGUCUUACGGUGGUUUUAGUCCUUCAGGAGCAGAUCCUG